GGAAUUUUGGACAAUGGGCGAAAGCCUGAUCCAGCCAUUCCGCGUGCAGGAUGACGGCCCUCGGGUUGUAAACUGCUUUUGUACGGAACGAAACGCGCCGAGCUAAUACCUCGGCGUAAUGACGGUACCGUUAGAAUAAGCACCGGCUCACUACGUGCCAGCAGCCGCGGUAAUACGUAGGGUGCAGGCGGUAAUCGGAAUUACUGGGCGUAAAGCGUGCGCAGGCGGUGAUGUAAGACAGGUGUGAAAUCCCCGGGCUUAACCUGGGAACUGCAUUUGUGACUGCAUCGCUGGAGUGCGGCAGAGGGGGAUGGAAUUCCGCGUGUAGCAGUGAAAUGCGUAGAUAUGCGGAGGAACACCGAUGGCGAAGGCAAUCCCCUCGGCCUGCACUGACGCUCAUGCACGAAAGCGUGGGGAGCAAA
rnacentral:rRNA from 1 species